AAUAAACAUCUCCCUGAAUAAGGGUGUGCUGCAAGUUGAUCUCUUUGCUUAACUUCCCCUAGAACAGAGGAAGGAGAGGCAUUCUGUGAUACAUCACAUGAAGUUUGUCAGGAAGUCCCUGUUUUUGCAAGUCGGUUACUUUGCAGAACUGAGACACAGAGGGAAUCAAGAAGCAAUAGUUCUUCAUCUAAGCACAGUAUGCAACAGAUUUACCACAUCUUGUGUCAAGUUACUCCAGAGAUCCUUUAAAUGUGAAGUUAAAAUCACAUCCUUCCAACAGAGAUCUGGGACUUGAAUUGCUGAAAUGAAAGCAAAAGAGCUUUGUGAACAUGAAUGGGAUCCUUCCUAAGUUACUGCUACCAAAGAAUCCGUGCCUACCUAAAUCUGCUUCAUUUAUGAUGGGAGAAAGGAGGCAAAGAUCUACUCAAUGAAUUGUUCUAAAAGCAUGCAGGAAGAGUGUGGUUCAGUCAAAUUCUCACAGGGGUGAAAAUGCACUGUAAAUCUCACUGACAGCUUUGUUGGUCAUUUGGGCACACAGUCAGCUGCAACAUGGACACCUCUUAGCCCAGUGUGUGAGAAAGGGCCAGUAUCCAUUUACUAAAAUGGUCUCUGAUCUAAAAUCCAUUCUUGUCGAUUGCUGUUUCCAUUGCCAUCAAUGCACUUUGGAACUUGCUUGUGGAGAUCUAGUCAAGAAAGCUCAGGAACAGAGUUUGGAAAUGCAGGACAGGAGAGUGCCAGAGGCUUCAGAGCAUUACACCAGGAUGGUGGGAUGGAAUUUUUGCUAGCAAGAUAAACUGGAUAUCCAGGGAAAACAGGUACGUAAACUACUGAUUUAAGGGAGAAACUAAAGAGUGUUUUACAGCUGUUAAAAUUCUAUUUAAUUCUGGAGCAUGAAGUAUAUACAGUAUUAUCAACAAGAAGAAAU